UCCCAACCCAACAGUUUCCUAGCCUAAGUAUCUCCUAACCUAAGAUUUUCUCAACCUAAGUGUUUCUAAGCUAAUGCCUCCUAACCAAAUCCUUUCUAUGCAAAAUCUUUCCAACCUAACCUCCCCUAACCUAACCUUUUUCAACCCAAACCUUUGUAACCUGAGUUUUUUAUUAUCCCCAACCCAACAAAGCCUAACUCGAACUAACAAAUGCAGUCCAGCCCAACCAUUGAGCUCCCCUCUAACCAAGCAUUUUCCAACCUAAUAUAACAAAGCCUUACCAGAUAAAGACUGAGCAACCCUCAGACUUGCUCAGUCUUCAUCACUUAAGGUUUGAUAGUCACAUCAAACUUUGGUAGGUAGGGUUUCAUCAAUAUCGUUAGAUACAGGA